rnacentral:sRNA from 1 species
UUAUGGAUAAUGUCACAUUUCCAUUGA